AGAGUUUGAUCAUGGCUCAGGAUGAACGCUGGCGGUAUGCUUAACACAUGCAAGUCGAACGGUCUCUUCGGAGAUAGUGGCGGACGGGUGAGUAACGCGUGAGAAUCUGCCUUCAGGUUGGGGACAACAACUGGAAACGGUUGCUAAUACCCAAUGUGCCGAGAGGUGAAAGCUUUAGUGCCUGAAGAUGAGCUCGCGUCUGAUUAGCUAGUUGGAGUGGUAAGAGCACCCCAAGGCAACGAUCAGUAGCUGGUCUGAGAGGAUGAUCAGCCACACUGGGACUGAGACACGGCCCAGACUCCUACGGGAGGCAGCAGUGGGGAAUUUUCCGCAAUGGGCGAAAGCCUGACGGAGCAAUACCGCGUGAGGGAGGAAGGCUCUUGGGUCGUAAACCUCUUUUGUCAGGGAAGAACACAAUGACGGUACCUGACGAAUCAGCUCGAUUCCCCCG
rnacentral:rRNA from 1 species